UACAGAGGGUGCGAGCGUUAAUCGGAAUUACUGGGCGUAAAGGGCGCGUAGGCGGCCUCUUAAGUCGAACGUGAAAUCCCCGGGCUCAACCCGGGAACUGCGUCCGAUACUGGGAGGCUUGAAUCCGGGAGAGGGAUGUGGAAUUCCAGGUGUAGCGGUGAAAUGCGUAGAUAUCUGGAGGAACACCGGUGGCGAAGGCGGCAUCCUGGACCGGUAUUGACGCUGAGGCGCGAAAGCCAGGGGAGCAAACGGG
rnacentral:rRNA from 1 species